UACGGAGGGUGCGGGCGUUGUCCGGAAUCACUGGGCGUAAAGGGCGCGUAGGCGGCCUGAUAAGUAGGGGGUGAAAUCCUGAGGCUUAACCUCAGGGCUGCCUUCUAAACUGUCGGGCUCGAGCACAGUAGAGGCAGGUGGAAUUCCCGGUGUAGCGGUGGAAUGCGUAGAGAUCGGGAAGAACAUCAGUGGCGAAGGCGGCCUGCUGGGCUGUUGCUGACGCUGAGGCGCGACAGCGUGGGGAGCAAACAGG
rnacentral:rRNA from 1 species